rnacentral:lncRNA from 1 species
CAUGCUGACUUCUUUAUUCACAUCAGUAUACAUCACUACCAGCUGCAAACUGUUCUUAUAAGGCAGCCAACAGUAACUGGCAAUUUCUUAUAGCAACUCUAGUAAAAUCUAUAACUUACAAAGAAAUUGCACAUAAAUUAUUUAACUCUUUUUAGUAUUUCUAACUCGAACAAUUAGCCUUUGUCAGUUAAUAUUAAUAAGAUGAUGUAGAGAAGCAAAGGGCAAGAAAAAAGUAGUAGGAAGGAGAGAAGAGAAGGGGCCAGUUUCACCCUGUAUCACCUUCAUACUUCAGGGUGGACUCAGGAGGAGAAAUACACUCAUGAUGGAACUUUCAAUGCUCCGCUUUUGCCUUCCCAAGCUCCCUGAAGCUGGAUGUUAUUUUGGGCCCCAUCUGAAGGAUCAGGCUCUAGCUAAUUGCAUGGUCAACCAGGCCCAAAAUCCAGAGCACCUCAAAGGGAAUCCCUGGGCCUCUGCACGGUCCCUGAGUUACAGC